rnacentral:rRNA from 1 species
UUUGAANCCCUUUGNAGGCAUAUGCUUGUCUCAAAGAUUAAGCCAUGCAUGUCUAAGUAUAAACAAAUUUGUACUGUGAAACUGCGAAUGGCUCAUUAAAUCAGUUAUAGUUUAUUUGAUGGUAUCUUGCUACAUGGAUAACUGUGGUAAUUCUAGAGCUAAUACAUGCGUCAAAGCCCCGACUUCUGGAAGGGGUGUAUUUAUUAGAUAAAAAACCAACGCGGUUCGCCGCUCUCUUGGUGAUUCAUAAUAACUUCUCGAAUCGCAUGGCCUUGCGCCGGCGAUGCUUCAUUCAAAUAUCUGCCCUAUCAAGUUUAGAUGGUAGGAUAGAGGCCUACCAUGCUUUCAACGGGUAACGGGGAAUAAGGGUUCGAUUCCGGAGAGGGAGCCUGAGAAACGGCUACCACAUCCAAGGAAGGCAGCAGGCGCGCAAAUUACCCAAUCCCGACACGGGGAGGUAGUGACAAUAAAUAACAAUAUGGGGCUCAUUUGGGUCCCAUAAUUGGAAUGAGUCCAAUUUAAAUCCCUUAACGAGGAACAAUUGGAGGGCAAGUCUGGUGCCAGCAGCCCGCGGUAAUUCCAGCUCCAAUAGCGUAUAUUAAAGUUGNUGCCGUUAAAAAGCUCGUAGUUGAACUUCCAUGGCCCCAUGCGGUCUGCCUNACGGCAUGUUACUGGGUGGGUNCCGUGUUCCUUGGUGGUGAGCCUUGAUGCCCGUUGUCCGNCGNCUAGGUGAACCACCUUUNUUACCUUUGAGAAAAUUAGAGNGUUCAAAAGCAGGCAANNUGCCCNAUCAUUAGAAUGGAUAACCGAANUGGCCUNNNGGUNUAUUUUGGUGGGUUUUANAACCCCGAAUGGAUUAANNGGGUUGUUGGGCNUUUUUNUUCAAUUNNUAGGGGNAANUUUUGGUUUUUCUGAAAAUUANNNNCNGCNAAGNNUUNCAAGGNUUUUUNAUAUANAAAANCAAGGUUGGGNUUCAAACCAUNAUNCCNUUUUGUNUAAACN